GCGGGUGUAACUCAGUUGGUAGAGUAUCGGCCUUCCAAGCCGAAUGUCGAGGGUUCGAACCCCUUCGCCCGCU
rnacentral:tRNA from 1 species